rnacentral:tRNA from 1 species
GAAAUAUUAAAAUUAAGCUUCUAACUUAAAAUCAAGCGAAUAAUAUCGUUUAUAUUUCU